rnacentral:rRNA from 1 species
GAUGAACGCUGGCGGCGUGCUUAACACAUGCAAGUCGAACGGGAAACCUUUUAUUGCAGCUUCGGCAGAUUUAGCUGGUUUCUAGUGGCGGACGGGUGAGUAACGCGUGGGUAACCUGCCUUAUACAGGGGGAUAACAGUCAGAAAUGGCUGCUAAUACCGCAUAAGCGCACAGAGCUGCAUGGCUCAGUGUGAAAAACUCCGGUGGUAUAAGAUGGACCCGCGUUGGAUUAGCUGGUUGGUGGGGUAACGGCCCACCAAGGCGACGAUCCAUAGCCGGCCUGAGAGGGUGAACGGCCACAUUGGGACUGAGCCACGGCCCAGACUCCUACGGGAGGCAGCAGUGGGGAAUAGUGCACAAUGGGGGAAACCCUGAUGCAGCGACGCCGCGUGAAGGAAGAAGUAUCUCGGUAUGUAAACUUCUAUCAGCAGGGAAGAUAAUGACGGUACCUGACUAAGAAGCCCCGGCUAACUACGUG